AUCUCUUCUCGCCUUUUGGCUCAGAUCAAAGUGCAGUAUCUGUUCUCUUAUCAUUUAAUAUCUAUAUCCCCCAUCAACUCAUAUCAGGGAUUUUUCGAACAGGAAGUCGGAAAUCUGGGGCUUACUCCGUCCCUCCACCUUUCACCACCGGUAUUACAGUACUGCCUCCGGAAAUGGUGCAACACUUU